rnacentral:rRNA from 1 species
UUGUCUCGUCAGGCCAUGAAGGGCUGGGGGGCGAACCUUGGUGCUAACCUCCGGGCCCAUAAAGGGGCCCUGCUAGAUCAGAUUAAGGUGCUGGACGACCUUGCUGACGGGCAGGGCUUGUCUCCUGACGACUGGCUUAGGAGAUACGCCCUCGAGGCCUCGCUCAUGGACAUUUACAAGAACGAGGAGCUAUUCUGGCAACGUCGAGGGGGCCAGAACUGGCUUCUCAAGGGGGAUGCGAACACUGCCUACUUCCAGGCGAUUGCUAAUGGCCGCAGGCGUAAGUGUCCCAUCCUGAUCCUUUGGGAUGGGGAUGUUCUUCUGGAAAGCUUAGAGGACAUCUCCACCCAUAUUUACUCCUUUUAUAAGGAGUUGUUUUCGGCCGCCUGCUGA